CACGUAGGGUGCGAGCGUUGUCCGGAAUUAUUGGGCGUAAUGAGCUCGUAGGCGGUGUGUCGCGUCGGCCGUGAAAACCUGCAGCUUAACUGUGGGCUUGCGGUCGAUACGGGCAUCACUGGAGUUCGGCAGGGGAGACUGGAAUUCCUGGUGUAGCGGUGAAAUGCGCAGAUAUCAGGAGGAACACCGGUGGCGAAGGCGGGUCUCUGGGCCGAUACUGACGCUGAGGAGCGAAAGCGUGGGGAGCGAACAGG
rnacentral:rRNA from 1 species